AUUGACAGAGGCAAUCACUAUACGAACCAUUAACCCGGGCCAUUAACAAAAGACGAAUGAUCACUAAUAAUUGGUCCAUUGUAAUAUGCACUGGGGCGAAACGAGCGCACAAUGGCGGGAGAUUUUGAAAAGCUGAUGGGCUGGCGAGAGUGAAUGUAUUGUGCCGACAGGAAUGUGCAAGUCGUGGAUACGGAAGAGAACAAUGGAAGCGCAUAAAUGCUGAGGGAAGAAAUGGCGUCCAAACAGCAGAAACGUGUUCUAAAAUAUAUAAAAUGAAUUUCUGUUGCUGAUGUUACUGCGUAUGGAAGGAAAGGAUAGACACUUCAGGAAUUGAUUUUAUAAACAACAGUUUGGUUCUAACCAGAUACGGUCACUAAUCGAGCUCUUCUCCGACAGGGGCAGCAUCUUCCCAAUGCAUUCUACUUUCUUAUCAGGAACAUAUACGGUCACUAAUCGAGCUCUUCUCCGACAUCUAGGGGCACAUCCUCCCAAUGUACGAACUCUACUUUCUUAUCAGGAACAUAAUUAUCAUAAUCUGGUGUAGACCUUGACUUUACCCUCAGCUGAAACCUAUAUAAAGAAUACCGCCUGAUCUAUGCAUGAUCCUGAUGAGCCACAAUUGGAGGUAGAGUACAAAAUCGUCAUCCAAGCUGCCUGGUCAUCAUCGAGGAAUGGAGAAGGUUUUCAACAGGAGAUGAUGGUGGGUCAGAUCAGGUGGAUGAGGUUGUUUUACAAUCAGGGUAUAAUCAUUUCAAACUUGCCUUCUGUGUGCAUGUGCAUCAGAAAAAGAAUAUGCGUACUGUUAAACGUUAUCUCAAAUCUAUCAUGCAAUUCUAUUAGCCUGGGCAAUGGUAAAGUAAACUGCUAGAUAUAUUAAUAACUACUGAAAUACAUUCACUUUUUAGAAAACAUAUAAGGUAUUUUAAGGCAAAAAUUACUGUCUCCUUUUGGUUUUUAAAAAUCAAUUUGGAGGGCGUGCAUCUUUAUAAUUUUUGUCUCGCCUGCAUAGCAAAGUAUAUAGGCGCCGCUUUUCCGACGGCGGCGGCGGCGCGGCGUCGUCAACAUCAAAUCUUAACCUAAGGUUGAGUAUUUUUGAAAUGUCAUCAUAACUUAGAAAGUAUAUGGGCCUAGUACAUGAAACUUGGACACAAAGGUAAUCAGGUAUUAAAAUCGUGCCCGAGUUUCAGGUCACAUGAUUAAGAUCAAGGGUCAUUUGAGUCAAUGAACUUUGGCCAUACAUGUUGGGGGAAUCAAAACGAAAUCUUAUCCAAGGUUAAGUUUUUGAAAUGUCAUGACUUUAAAUGUAUAUGGAUCUAGAUCAUGAAACUUAGACAUAAGAGUGAUCAAGCAUCAAUAAACAUCCUGCGUGAGUUUCAGGUCACAUGACCAAGGUCAUGAACUAUUUGGCCGGGCUGUGGUUAUUUGUUGAAUUGCCAUUAUAACUUUGGAAGUUUAUGGAUCUCGUUCAUGAAAUAUGGACAUAUUACAGGGUAAUCAAGUAUCACUAAUCGUCUUGCACAAGUCGGUCACGCAAUCAAGGUCAAAUGUCACAAGGUCAAUGAAUCUAUAUCGUAUUUUUUAAACAUAUGAAUGGUGUUUUUUGUGAACAAUCAUUCUUUAGUCGUUUACAAAGUCAUAAACACUACUGCUGCUAUUUUGAAUCGCGUAAUCCAGUCGAGACUGCCAGAGGCGCUCCACUUUUUACCAAUCAGAAUUGAACAUUGAUAUGCAAUAGAUUAAACUGAAAACUCCAGAAAGUAAAGACAAUUUAAUUUUGGUGACUUUCAGCCAAAAAAUGGGGUACAAAUUCUGUCAAAAAAUGUCUAAUCUGUAUUCGGUAUUUUUACGCAUAGUCUACCUGAUUGCUAAUGUUUCUUUUUCUGUAAGAAUACUUGUAUACAUACUUAAGAAGUUCACUCCCGCCAAGCAUGCACGUCCACUUAUUUCUUCUUUUUAUUUUAGAUAGUUCACAUUCCAUUGUCAAAUCAAUUUCUGCCCAAAUGUCCAAAGUGAACUUUUAAUCAAAACGCAAUGUAUGAUAUUUUCAUUUUGGAUGCCAAUGUGUCCGUUUCAAGAGUUGUCAUUCCUUUGUAUUUUGGUUGCCAAUUAAGGUGCAUAUGGCAACGCUUAAAGAAUUGUCUUUCCUUUUUUACAUUUUUUUGCAUUUUUACAUGAAUGUGUCAUGAUAUUUAUCCCUUUUUUGUUCUGUUUAUUACUAUUGUUUGGUCAUAGUCAUACUACAAAAUUUGUUAUUCAUAGCAGAAUUGAAAUCAAUGAAUGUAUGCAUGCGUGAGUAUAUUCAUAUAUACUUAAAAUAUUCAUAUAAAUUUGCAAAUUUUAGUCGUGUUUCUUAAGACCACCGGGCAGAUUUUUUUUACAAAUCAUAUCGUCAGGUUUUCUACUUAAAAAUGCUAUAGGAGGAAAUCCUAUCACACAAAAUUUUUCAAUAGUUUCCUUCUUUGAGAUUGAAGCGAAGUUGUUUUUCUUGUUAAACUGUCAGUCACUGUAAUAGGACAAACUACACAGCUAUACUGUCAAAGAGAUCAAUGGCCGAUUAAGUUUAACUUUGCUAGUAAGAAACGAGUAGCACAGAAUACUUAGACUAUAACACCUCCAUUACUGAAAUGGGAACAUAGAAUUUAAAUUCCUAUGAUAAAUCUCUACAAAACUUUUUCGUCUUUAAAUGGUAAAGAAAUUUAUUUUUUCUUUCUCAUUCACCCUGUAAAAUGAAUGACCCACUCACACACAAAACGUAAUCUUUAGAUAGAUUCAUAUCUUUAUUCUUUGGUGUUUCUUUGAACUGGCUUUGGGGACUUUUUUCAGGUUUGCAGGUCAAAUAUCGUCGUACGUACCGACCAUACCUGAACAAAAUGUUGGUGCAUUAUGGUUGGCAAUACUCCUUUGAGUAAUACAGUUAAAUAAACUCAAACUUACCGUUUCAUAUCAAUACUACAGAACAGGGCCGGCGGAUGCAGGAUUUUUCAAAAGGGGCACAUUUUCAUUUUCCUAGGUAAAUUUGACAAGCAGAACAAAAAUAAUCUGAAAUAAUAUAUGGUUUUCACAAAAAAUUUGGGCCAUUUUGUCCCACGUACAAUUUGACAAGC